rnacentral:lncRNA from 1 species
CAAAAUACCAUCCUGCAUUGUCCAGAUCUCAAUGCCAACAGCAGCAAUGGGCUCAAAGUCAGGCUUUUCAAGCUCAAAGUAUUCGGGGUUUGGAAUCUCCUGAGGCUUCCAAAUACCCUUGUAAUUGGGGUUAUCAAUGAGUGGAGCAUGCCAUUUUCCUUUGUAAGCUGGAUUCCUUUUCAUUGGCUUCUUCCAUUCACCACAACCAGGGGAUGUCUCACACUUUGGGUUGUCAAUCUUUGGUGCUUCCCAUUCACCAUCCUCCUCGUCAUCCCAAUCUUCCGGUUUUGUUGCCUCAGGAUCAUCAAUUUCCUCAGGUUCAUCAUCCAACCAUCCUUCAGGUUUCUCAGCUUCCUCAUCUACAAUUUCCAUUGGAGCAUCCUCAUCCCAGUCAUCUGGCUUCACAGCAUUAGGGUCAGGAAUUUUAGCUCUCUCAUCCCAGUCCUCCGGCUUCUUAUCUUCUGGAUCAGGAAUCGUCUUUGCAGGAAUUAGAG